AGUCCGCCCAAAUCUGUCGUUAUGGUUAGCGGCUGCGGGAGCCGCCACAGCACAGACCCAGCACGGAGGAAGCCCGUCCCUAACUUUCAGACUUGUUGAGCUCUCAGUCAGCCAGAGCUAAGAAGAAAGCAGAUUCUUGGCAGAGACAAAAAUGACUUCGUAUUCGCUACUAAGAGGUUGUGCCUAUUAUUUAUGUCCCAUACCACAGAGAUCUCAAAGUAUGGCAAGUCAAGAUUCAUGGAAAGAGCAAAGAGGUAAAUGUAGCAAACUGGAAGAGUUUCAUUAAAGAUAUGCACUGCAUGCAGAAUAUUGAACCAUUAUUGAAAAUAAAAUUGGACACGAGAUGCUUUGGACACAAUGAACUAGGGCAGACCCAGGCCUGGUGUGGGAUGAGUCCUGAGUUCCGAUCUCACUGGUGCUACUCCUAAGGGUUCUGAGUAUGUGGAUCAAAACCUUUCACUUCUUUGGGCUCCAAGGUUCCUUUGUUUUGGAGGGUUCUGUUUGUUUGUUUUGACCAGAA
rnacentral:lncRNA from 1 species